GGAAUUUUCGCAAUGGGCGAAAGCCUGACGGAGCAAUACCGCGUGAGGGAUGACGGCCUGUGGGUUGUAAACCUCUUUUCUCAAGGAAGAAGUUCUGACGGUACUUGAGGAAUAAGCAUCGGCUAACUCUGUGCCAGCAGCCGCGGUAAUACAGAGGAUGCAAGCGUUAUCCGGAAUCACUGGGCAUAAAGCGUCUGUAGGUGGUCUGGUAAGUCUGCUGUUAAAGACUGGGGCUCAACCCCAGAAAAGCAGUGGAAACUGCCAGACUUGAGUGUGGUAGAGGUAGAGGGAAUUCCUAGUGUAGCGGUGAAAUGCGUAGAUAUUAGGAAGAACACCAAUGGCGAAGGCACUCUACUGGGCCAUAACUGACACUGAGAGACGACAGCUAGGGGAGCAAAUGGGAUUAGAUACCCCAGUAGUC
rnacentral:rRNA from 1 species